GAAUGCUGAGACGACUAGAAUAUUGACUGAUGAUUUUUUAGACCAUAAUGCGAGACAAAACAAAAUGGCCAGUAUUUAUCUUUUAUAUUUAUAUAUUUUUUAUCUUCUUUGAUGUCUUUCUAUUACAAAGAGCCAAUCGGGAGAGCGGAUGGGGCAAGUGAGUCAAGGUAGCAACAGCCAAUCAUGAGUAAGUACGAAGAUGAGUCAUAGUUGGCACAGCCAAUCACGAGCGAGUACAGAAGAAACGCGGCAAACAACAUCGAUUGAGACGCCUUUAUGGAAGAUUUACUCCUCCAUUUCUUCCUCCAAGAGGCCACAUCUGAAAGUUGUGUCUCUCACAGCCCUGGCCGCAGAAUCGUUGGAUGACAUGGACUCAGGUGGGCUUUGGACAUCAGCCCCACAUAAGAGCUGUGACCAUGUCCCUGGUUGGGAGGGAGUGGAUGAACUAGCAACGUUUCUUGUUGGCCUGAAUCGAACUGUCACGUCCAUCUGACAAGGCUUUUCCAACAUAUUCAUUAAAAUAAAAAAAGAAAACCCUACCUGGGCCCUGGAGAACCUCUCACAAGUGUGCUGGUUCUGUGCCUGCCCAGCAAGCAGCUGAAAGGAUUGUGUCUAAGUCAGUGGUCGGAACCUAUGGUUCACAAGCCAGAUAGACUCUUCUGACAUCUGCAUCGGGCUCGCAGACAAAUCUUGAAUUAUUAAAAAAAAAAAAAAAGUUUCUUU